UAAUCUUUUGCCUUUUAAUGGAGGCUAGUAUGAAUGGCAAGACGGAAGUUUAGCUGUCUCUCUUUUAGGUUCUUGAAUUUAUUAUCUUUGUGAAGAAACAAAGAUAAAGUCGUAGGACGAGAAGACCCUAUCGAGCUUUAGUUUACGAUUAAAAUUAAGGAUUUUUUCAUAGGGCUAAUAAAGUUAGACAAUAGUUUUACUUGAUGAUAGAAAUAAUUUGUUAAUAGUGUGCUUUGGUUGGGGCAACCACGGAGAAAAAUUACCCUCCGCUUAUAAAAUAAGAAAUUACUAUUUUGGAAAAUUUAAAAUUGAGAAGUGACCCACUUAGUAGGAGUGAUCAAAGGAUCAAGUUACCGUAGGGAUAACAGCGUAAUUUUUUUGGAGAGUUCAUAUUGAUAAAAAAGUUUGCGACCUCGAUGUUGGAUCGGGACUUCCAGGAGAUGCAGCAGUUUCCAAGGGUUGGUCUGUUCGACCAUUAAAGUCCUACGUGAUCUGAGUUCAGACCGG
rnacentral:rRNA from 1 species